ACAGAAGGGUUGUGUCCUCGGUGUCUCCAUAACCAGUAGACCAUUCUAUCCCAAGCACACGCAGGCGUGGAUUUAAAGACUUUCUUCUUUCUUUAUAAGAAAAAAAGUAAAGGGCUAACGUUGUCCAGGACGCACCGUUUUCUUUCAGAAAGAUGGAUCGGCGGUUCUGUUCGUUGAUCGGUGUUGUGUUGUUUUUGAUGGUCUUGGCGUGUGGAUAUGGACUGGAACUGGAUCACCAUGAGGACCAUGUGGAAAUGAUGCUGGAUCCAUUUGAUCGUGUGAAGGAUUUACUGAAAAUUCACAGCAAAGGCCUCACUUUGGCCGCUGUUAACAGUCUGGUUCAAAAACUGUUCUCUCGCAUUCAUUGCACGCCCCCAACAAGUGUGCCAGCUGCUGGUGGGGCCAAGCCUUGCACGCAGUCCCUGUGUCUCUCCGGGAGUGAGAUAUUCGCUUACCUCGGCCUCCAGGAGACAGAGGAAAUUCUGGAGUCCCAUUUCGGCGACUUAUCCAAUCUUCUGUUGUACUAUACGACGAUCGCCAAAAACAGUUGCCAGCAGACUCCAACCAUCAACUCCUCCUCACCCAAGACGUUCUACACCGGUGAGCUGACGAAAUAUUUCACUAGGGGUCAGCUAACAUAUGCCUCACUCACGAUGAAGACGCUACAAGAAGCACUUGAUGACCUUAAUGACGUAUACGAAUCUGAUGACGAAAGAGAUGACGAUCAUGAUGACGAUCAUUCAGAUGAACAUCAUGAUAAUGAUGAUCACCAUGAUACCGAUGAUCAUCAUGAUACAGAUGAUCACCAUGACGACCACACAGAUAGACCAAGCGACACAAGUACAGAAGACCAUACUGACGACCAUGGUCACGAUCAUGAUGACGAUGAUCACAUGACGACAUCCUCCGUCACUGCCCAUCAUGAUGACGAUGACCAUUCAAACGAGGACGAUCACGACAGCCAUGAACAUGAUGAUGACGAUGAUGAUCACAAGACAGUCAACCUUCACCAGACAAAGUGUCUGAGCGCUGGGAGGCUAUAUGACGAGAUGUACAAGGACCCCCUAGAGGACAUGUUUGGUGAUGAGCAUGACUUGGAGGGACUGUCUCAACUCCUCCUCUUCCACAUGCUCUCCGGCGAUAAAGUAUCCCCUAACUGCCGAACUCUGCCCAGGAAAAAUUACAUGGAGAGUAGCCUUUUGCGAUAUGUCCAUGCCAGCAACGACACGAUUCGGAAAAAAGAUUUUGAAAAUUUGAUGACUGCUCUUGGUCUGGUGCAAACCGCCAAAGUAAUGGAGGACAGUAUGGACAGCCAUGAUGGACACGAUCACCGCAGACGUAAGAGGGCGGUACCGGACAACGAGUCAUAUCCAAACAAAUGUUACAACGCGGACGAAAUCCUGGCCAUCUACAACGCUAGAAACACGGACACCUUGACCAAGAAGAAUUUCUUAGAAUUGUGUCCAUCCCUGAUUUAUCAGCAAGUGUCCAAGGCCUGUGCCCCACUUCCGCAGCAAGGAUCAAAACCCAAGCUUACCUUAGAUUCAUCGGAAGCAUACGGAUACGGGACCCUGGCUGUCUUCAUAGUCUGCCUCUGCUCCAUUGUGGCCGUUCUCUUUAUUCCGUUUGCCAACACAAUCUGUCUGAGGACUUUCGACUAUGUGUUGGGGGUGUUUCUUGGCCUGGCCGUCGGAACACUGAUCGCCGAUUCUAUUCUUCAUCUGUUCCCGGCAGCGUUUGGAUUACAUGUGCACUCAGAAGAUGAACAUAACCACGCCCAUGGCGAUGGGGUAACCAUGGAGCCCUAUGUAGGGUAUGGACUGGCAGCAAUGGCUGGUAUUUACGCCUUUUACUUCAUGGAGAUGUGCUUCAAUCUGUUCAGUAAGUCCGAUGGCGCCGAGGAUGACCAUGGCCACUCACAUCUUCCAAGUCUGGACAAGAUGGAACUGCAUAGUGGUAUGAAAAAUGGAAAAACUACAUCACGCUCCGAGUUAUAUGAAGUACAAAGUAAUGCGGAUUCAGAGAGUCCCAAAAUUAGUACAGCAAGUUCCCGAUCCCUGAUAUUCAUGGUACUGCUUGGAGACGCCCUCCACAACUUCGCCGACGGUCUGGCGAUAGGAGCAGCAUUUACUGAGAGCGCGUCUGUGGGAAUCGCCACAACCAUCACUGUUUUCUGUCACGAACUCCCACACGAGUUAGGUAAUAAACACUAGAUUUAUUCUUAAACUUGUCGUAUGGGAAACAUUUGAAAUUUAUUUCGAAAUACGUUCAUUUGUUUAGUUUAUAUAUACAUGUAUAUAUGAAAAAAAACAACGAUUUUUAGCGUACAAAAGUUCGCAACUUCAAUCACAAAAUCGAACUUCUUUCAUGUUGCAAUAUUGUUGUCCCUUUGACCACUUCACAAUCUACUUUUACCUCAGUAGUAAUAUUAAAUUUUUGUUUGAAGUAAAAUAGAUCAGAAGGACAUAUAGUUUACGCAUUAUCACCCGAUGUUUUCUUCUUUGCCAAAAUAACCAACUACAUGAGUUUACGGUCUUUUUUUUUUUUGCAGGUGACUACGCCAUAUUGGUCUCCAGUGGACUGUCCAGAGGGAGGGCUCUACUGUUUAAUUUCUUAUCUUCCCUGACCGCCUUCAUUGGUCUCUACAUAGGGAUUUCUGUGUCAACAGACGACACUGUUAGACAGUGGAUUUUUGCCAUCACCGCUGGGCUCUUCCUGUAUAUUGCCUUGGCUGAUAUGAUGCCACAUCUGACAAAAGUGAAGGGACCACAUGGAAAAAGACUGCUAAUGAUUAUAUGUAACAACAUUGGAAUCUUUGUGGGUGUUCUCAUUCUAGUUCUAUUGUCUUUAUUUGAGUCAAAAAUCAAAGUAUGAACAAAUUUCACAGUGCGAUUCAAGUGCAAUUUUUAAUUUUCCAUAAAUCUUCAUUUUUAUGUGCAAUUAAUCGGUAAUUUUGAUAUGAUUUUUUCUUUUAAAUGACUUCUUUUGUAUCUUCAUUUUUUUUAUGCAAUGUCAUCAAAAUGUGUUUUUUCUUUUUUCAAAACUUGUAUUUUAGAUGUGAUGUUAUUCAAUAUGCAAUGUUUGCAGAAUGUACAUAAUUCAUAAAAACAAUAGAGCCAUAACAAACAGCUUACGUCAUUGUGACAAUGGCUGAACUAAUUCAUGUAACAUGAUACAUAAAAAGAUGUUUUAUAUACUGUACAUAUCUUCAACUGUUCUGUGAUAUACCGGUUUUAAUGUUUUAUAUUUAUCAAUACAACGAUGAUGAUGUAUCUAUC
rnacentral:misc_RNA from 1 species